rnacentral:rRNA from 1 species
UUGAGUUGUAUUGAAGUAGGCGGAAUAUGUAGUGUAGCGGUGAAAUGCAUAGAUAUUACAUAGAACACCAAUUGCGAAGGCAGCUUACUAAGUACUAACUGACGCUGAUGGACGAAAGCGUGGGUAGCGAACAGGAUUAGAUACCCUGGUAGUCCACGCCGUAACGAUGGAUACU